UUUAUUUUUCUUUCCGAUCAUAAAUCUAACUCUCCAUUAAAUACGAUUAACAAAAACACUUGGCUCCAAGAAAGACAGAGAGUGAUGAAUAAUGUUUCUUUCCGCUUUCCCGAGAGAGAUGGCAAUGGGAGAUUGUUAAAUUAAUUAAGAAAUUGAGUAUGGAAAUAAUGAGCAGCAAAAGUUACCACCUCUGCUCGACUGGCUCCCAGAGAGAUAGCCGACUGACCGACCCACCGAACCACACUUACCCGUUCCAGAAAUUGUCUCUGAUAAACGACGGCACAAGAACAUCAAUAUUGCUUAAACAACUGCCGCCGGUAGUUGCCGCCAUGUGUAUCUCAAUCUCCACAAGGAGAUCCGAUCCAUCAGUGGUUGCACAGUGGUUUCAUGUUUUAAACACUGCAAGUUUCCGGAGAAUCAAACUAUCUUGAUUAUAGCUCCAAUAAGGGGUUCUUAGAAUACAAGAAGUGGUUGAUAAUAGCUGAUAUAAUCAGUGAAGAUAGCUACAGGGAACACUCAAAAUUGGCUAGCUUCCCUUUAGAUAGGGUAUAAGGUUACUUGUCAAUGAGUUCUUGAGAGUUUCUUGGUAUCCAUCUUAAUAUUCACUCUCUCGCUCACCCUAAUGAAGCCUUCUUUUGAGAGUAUUCUCUUGCAUAAUCAGCAUGGAACCACUGUACAUGCAUCAGCGGAUGCCAAGAACCAAGUCUGCGGCGCCCAAGAAGCAAUCAAUUUUUAAUUUCAGUUUAUUGUUGCUUUUGUUGGCUCUCUUUCUCUCUUUCUGUCGUUCGCUCGUUCUUUCUUUAUCUCACGUCAGGUUCUAUUGUUAUUUGUUGUGCCAUGCGUUUCAUUCGACAAAAGUCGUCGUCCGCUUACGUACAUACAUAUAUAUAGAGGUUAUAUAGUGUGUAUGAAUUUGUCGCUUAGGCUUUAAUACUCUUUCCAAAGGUACUAUAAUUGUAGUAGGCCAUAGAUCGGCAUAGAUCUCUGUUCGUCUCGAAUGCAAAUGGAUUCUUCUAAUUUUCCUCCAAUUUAAUUCUAACAUCUAUCUUUCUUGCCUGCACGGGACCGCAGCAUGCGUCAGCGCCCCUCGGUCGGAGCCACCUGAUGUUACAUUUCUUUGACCAUUUCUUUUCUUUAGGGUAUCCAAACCUCGUUGCUUUAGAGUUCAGGCUUUUGCAGCAUUUUUAUGAUAUGAUUUUGAUUGUUGUCGGGGUCGUUUCUUUCGUUAUUGCCUUUAUCGCGGGCCAUUGUGCCUCUGAAUGGAAAUGGGUAUAGGGAUGAAGAGUGGGAUGGGAUGGAAUGGAAGUAGAAUGAAGUGAACGGCUUUUCGGUGUUCUGUUCCAAUUUCUUGACAUACGAUUGGUUCUGCCCAUUGAGGGGGAGACUCUUCGCACAAGUGUGUGUCACCAAACGGUUAUAUUUUUGUAGGCAACCCAACAAAAAUGUUACUUGACAAAUUCUGAGUUUUUAUUGUCAUUGUUUUUGCUUGUUUUUUGCUUUCCGUUUUAUUUGGCGAACAAUCACGACGGACACAUAUCCCAUAUAAAGAAAACGUCGGGGAUGACUAGUCGAUGUGGGUCUCGGCUCGGUGUAUGUUUAGUGACAUCAUAAUUGGAAUUGAGGCGACACAAUGGAUGACCAUUCGAAUCGGGCGACGGCGACGGCCUAUCAGAGAAUUUGAAACGCAAGUUAUUUACACAGCUAGCUCCGGAUAAUCUUAUCGCCAGUGGAAACAGGCCCAUAUACUCAUACUUCUACUUAAAUAUAAGAGGUGUAUUGUAUGGCACUUGCCAUAAUUCGCUAAUCAACGUUGCUCUACCCUCCCUCCAACCACCGUCCUGGGUUCUAAUUGCAUUCCCUGACAUGGAUCCGAUGCACAAAAUACAGCCUUUGCAAGUGUUAA